GCCCGUUUAGCUCAGUUGGUAGAGCGCGACACUAGUAUCCAGCACCUCCUGGAACGCGAAAUGUCGAGGUCGAUCGUUCGAAUCGGUCAGGGGCA